GCCAGGCGGGGUGGCCCAUGCCUGUAAUCCCAGAAGCUUGGGAGGCUGAGGCAGGAGGAUCACAAGUUCAAAGCCAGCCUCAG
rnacentral:sRNA from 1 species